CCUACGGGUGGCAGCAGUGAGGAAUAUUGGUCAAUGUGCGCAAGACUGAACCAGCCAAGUAGCGUGCAGGAUGACGGCCCUAUGGGUUGUAAACUGCUUUUGUACGGGGAUAAAAUGCUUCACUUGUGAUGUUUUGUAGGUACCGCAUGAAUAAGGGCCGGCUAAUUCCGUGCCAGCAGCCGCGGUAAUACGGAAGGCCCGGGCGUUAUCCGGAUUUAUUGGGGUGAAAGGGAGCGGAGGCCGGCUGUUAAGCGUGGCGUGAAAUGCCCGCGCCCAACCCUGGCACGGCGGUGGAAACUGGAUGGCUUGAGUGCGCAACAGGCAGGCGGAAUUCGUGGUGUAGCGGUGAAAUGCAUAGAUAGCACGAGGAACCCCGAUUGCGAAGGCAGCAUGCGGCAGUGCUACUGACGCUGAAGCUCGAAGGUGCGGGUAUCGAACAGGAUUAGAUACCCUAGUAGUC
rnacentral:rRNA from 1 species